rnacentral:rRNA from 1 species
AUUGAACGCUGGCGGAAUGCUUUACACAUGCAAGUCGAACGGCAGCACGGACUUCAGUCUGGUGGCGAGUGGCGAACGGGUGAGUAAUGUAUCGGAACGUGCCCAGUCGUGGGGGAUAACGUAGUGAAAAUUACGCUAUACCGCAUACGAUCUAUGGAUGAAAGCGGGGGAUCGCAAGACCUCGCGCGAUUGGAGCGGCGGAUAUCAGAUUAGGUAGUUGGUGGGGUAAAGGCGCACCAAGCCAACGAUCUGUAGCUGGUCUGAGAGGCCGACCGGCCACACGGGAACGGAGACACGGACCAUACUCCGACGGGAGGCAGCAGUGGGGAAUUUUGGACAAUGGGCGAAAGCCUGAUCCAGCCAUUCCGCGUGCAGGAUGAAGGCCCUCGGGUUGUAAACUGCUUUUGUACAGAACGAAAAGGUUUCUACUAAUACUAGGAGCUCAUGACGGUACUGUAAGAAUAAGCACCGGCUAACUACGUGCCAGCCGCCGCAGUAA